rnacentral:rRNA from 1 species
UACGUAGGGGGCAAGCGUUGUCCGGAUUUAUUGGGCGUAAAGAGCGUGUAGGCGGCCUGACAGGUCUGCUGUGAAAACUCGAGGCUCAACCUCGAGAUGUCGGCGGAAACCGUCUGGCUAGAGUCCGGAAGAGGAGAGUGGAAUUCCUGGUGUAGCGGUGAAAUGCACAGAUAUCAGGAAGAACACCUAUGGCGAAGGCAGCUCUCUGGGACGGUACUGACGCUGAGACGCGAAAGCGUGGGGAGCGAACAGG